CAGUAGCCGCGGUAAUACGGAGGGAGCUAGCGUUGUUCGGAAUUACUGGGCGUAAAGCGCACGUAGGCGGUUAUUCAAGUCAGAGGUGAAAGCCCGGGGCUCAACCCCGGAACUGCCUUUGAAACUAGAUGACUAGAAUCUUGGAGAGGUCAGUGGAAUUCCGAGUGUAGAGGUGAAAUUCGUAGAUAUUCGGAAGAACACCAGUGGCGAAGGCGACUGACUGGACAAGUAUUGACGCUGAGGUGCGAAAGCGUGGGGAGCAAACAGGAUUAGAGACCCCAGUAGUCCCUGUCUCUUAUAC
rnacentral:rRNA from 1 species